AUGAACGCUGGCGGCGUGCCUAAUACCUGCAAGUCGCACGAACAGACGAGGAGCUUGCUCCUCUGACGUUAGCGGCGGACGGGUGAGUAACACGUGGAUAACCUACCUAUAAGACUGGGAUAACUUCGGGAAACCGGAGCUAAUACCGGAUAAUAUAUUGCACCGCAUGGUUCAAUAGUGAAAGACGGUUUUGCUGUCACUUAUAGAUGGAUCCGCGCCGCAUUAGCUAGUUGGUAAGGUAACGGCUUACCAAGGCAACGAUGCGUAGCCGACCUGAGAGGGUGAUCGGCCACACUGGAACUGAGACACGGUCCAGACUCCUACGGGAGGCAGCAGUAGGGAAUCUUCCGCAAUGGGCGAAAGCCUGACGGAGCAACGCCGCGUGAGUGAUGAAGGUCUUCGGAUCGUAAAACUCUGUUAUUAGGGAAGAACAAAUGUGUAAGUAACUAUGCACGUCUUGACGGUACCUAAUCAGAAAGCCACGGCUAACUACGUG
rnacentral:rRNA from 1 species